UUGUUCGUUAAAGCUCUGGGCUACGUUUACAGCAUCUUGCCCUGUCAUUGCAUCGACAACGAGAAAAAUUUCAUCCGGUUUGGCAAUUUCUUUCAUUUCUUUUAAUUCAGCCAUUAAUGCUUCGUCGACAUGCAGACGGCCCGCAGUAUCAAUUAAAACAUAGUCAUGAUGCUC
rnacentral:antisense_RNA from 1 species